CCUGACCUCGGAUCAGUCGU
rnacentral:rRNA from 1 species